CUUAUUUUAUUUUUUCUUUCUUCUUCUCUUGCUAUUCUUUUCCCCUAUUCUUCUUCGUCGAGAGUCUAUGAGAAUCAACCGAGAGAAUCAGUUGAAUAAUCUGUGCGGUUAAUGAAGGCUGAUGCUUCUGCCAAAGAUUUGGGUUUGGAGGAAGAAGAAACUUAGGUUUGAGAAAUAAAUGAGUUAAGGUUUCAUUUGAGGCUCAAAGAAGAAUUAGAAGAUGAAGAUGACGGUUUAGUGGAUUAAAUUAAAUGGGUUUAAUCUGAAUUAGAGUAAGAGGUUGAAGAACAUCUUGUAAUUAAGAGGUUCGUUUCUCAGAGAAGUUGAAAUCGAAGUUAAGGUUUGUUCUUGAGUGAAGAAAUCCAGAAAGGUGGAUGAAUCUGUUAAGACCGUGAUGAGUCUCAAGAUAUGAAGAAUUAGAUCGUGGUAAUGUUUUGAUAGAGAAAUUAAUAAGGAAUCGAGAAAUUACAGAGAUAGAAGAUUAAUAACAGUGAUUGUAAAAUUAAGGUUUAGUAUGAAAUUGAGAGGUGAAUUGGGUUGUUGUUAGAUGAACAACAAUGGAUAAAUGUUCAAUUGAAGUUUUGAGGUGGAUUCAGUGAUGAAUCAAUGAACUAGGGUUGUGUUUUGUUCUUCCCUAAAUUAAGAAUUAGGGUUUAGAGAUCGAUUGAGGAUCAUGCCUGAAGCUGUUAGAAGAAUUAGGGUUUGAUUACGACUGUAAGAAGGUGAUGGAGUUAUUAUGAGUUUUGAAUUGGUUGGUGUUGGAGCAGAACUUAUCUGAGGUAAACCUUUCUUUACUCAAUUGAAGUUUGUAUCUUUAUUUAAGUGUUGAUGUGUUGCUAUCUGCGGGUUUUGGGUUUAUGAUUGUUGGUUGUUGUGAUGGGUAUGGAGUCAAAUGAAUGAUUUAGAAAGAGUAAAUGAAUUUGUGUUUGGUAUUACAAGUUUUGGUUACAGGGAAUCGAAGCUACAUGACAAUUGAGCUGAGGUUUUGUUGGUGUAUGAAUGAAACAGUGCUUGUGUUGAUACUGUCGAGAUAUGAGAAUGUAGUUGUAGUUGUUAUUGCAGAACUGGUGUUGGAGGUGGAAGCAUUAGUGGAACUAUAAUUGUAAAAUUGUGGUGAUGAUUAUGAAUGUUAUGAACUGUGUUUAGAUGUUUUGUUAUGUGUUUGGAUGGUGGUUUUAGUUGUAAUUAUGGUGGAGCAGCAAAUUAAUUCUGUGUGGGUGGAAGUGGUUAUGUAAUUACAGUUGGUAAUGGAAUUGUUAUGGAUGUAUGAGUGGAUGAGAGUGUUCAUGAAGGAAUGAAGUAGUUAUGAAGUUGAAUGACAGUAUGAGGGAUCUAUAGGGUGAUGUUGAAGUUGCAGGGAUAUAGGUGUUGGUAUUGUUAUGAUGAGAUGUUGCAGGUGAUGGUGAUUAAAUGAAGUGUAUUGUGUAAUAGAUGAGGAUAUUGGAGUUGAACUGGAAAUGUGAGAAGAAUAACUAGGUUGAAGUUGGUUUAGGUGUAUGUGAUGGUGGUUGUGUGUCUGAAGUGAAGUAUGGAUGAGUACUUAGAGUUUUGCAAUGUUAAUGUAGGGUUAUUGAUGGUCUCAGUCGAGGCUUGCUUAGGACUGCAAUUUCAGUUAGUCUAUUAACAACAAUCGAUUCAAGGGAUGAACCGGUGGAUCUUGGAUCUCGAGGUAGGCGUGGCUUGUCAGAAGAGUUUCAGAGACAGAUCAGAGUUGCGCAGCGAAAGCUUCAAGGGUCGAGUUCGUUAGUUGUUUAACUUCUGUUAUGUUUAUUAUGUUGCAUAUUAUAUUUGUAAACCAAACGACUAUUGUAUAUGUAUCAUUUGAGAGAAGUUCUUGUAUAUAUAUAUAUUUCUGAGCGGGACUA